UUUCCGGUUGAUCCCGCCGGACCUGACUGCUAUCGGAUUGAUACUAAGCCAUGCGAGUCUUUGCAGUAAUGCAAGGCAUACGGCUCAGUAACACGUAGUCAACUUACCCUAUGGACGAGGAUAAUCUCGGGAAACUGAGCAUAAUACUCGAUAGAUCAUAAUGCCUGGAAUGGUUUAUGGUUGAAAUGAUUCGUCGCCAUAGGAUGGGACUGCGGCCUAUCAGCUUGUUGGUGAGGUAAUGGCCCACCAAGGCGAUUACAGGUACGGGCUCUGAGAGGAGAAGCCCGGAGAUGGGUACUGAGACAAGGACCCAGGCCCUAUGGGGCGCAGCAGGCGAGAAAACUUUGCAAUGUGCGAAAGCACGACAAGGUUAAUCCGAGUGAUUUCUGCUAAAGAAAUCUUUUGCAAGUCAUAAAACCACUAGUGAAUAAGGGGUGGGCAAGUUCUGGUGUCAGCCGCCGCGGUAAAACCAGCACCUCAAGUGGUCAGGAGGAUUAUUGGGCCUAAAGCAUCCGUAGCCGGCUCUGUAAGUUUUCGGUUAAAUCCAUGUGCUCAACGCACGGGCUGCCGAAAAUACUGCAUAGCUAGGGAGUGGGAGAGGUAGACGGUACUCAGUAGGAAGGGGUAAAAUCCUUUGAUCUAUUGAUGA
rnacentral:rRNA from 1 species